GAAAGAAAAUUUAAGCCAUUAUGCAAUGUUAUAUGAAAGACCGUAUCAAGAGACCUAUGUUCUGAGUAUCUUGAGUGGCUUUGGAGAUAUGUUUUUAAAAGGUGUUAUGAUUUCUUUAAGAAAUUCUUUUCAAGAACUUUGUCAGUAUGUCUCCGCAGCUGGACCCUUAGAAUUGGACGUAGCAGCGCAUCCCUUCCGACCAGGAGAUUGAAUAUAUAUAAAAUCACUGAGAAGUGGAAAGGACCGUAUCGAGUCAUUUUAACAACACUUACAGCAGUAAAGGUCUGGGAGAAGAACCUUGGCUUCAUUAUUCAAGACUAAAGAAAGCACCAACAGGAAAUUGGAAGUCUAAAGAAACUGGCCCUUUGAAACUGAAAACCUGUAAAAAUCUCCCUUGUGGCCUCGACGGUGGACCUGGGUAAAUCGAAAGGAUGAUACCUGGCAAUUGCCAAGUCUUAGAACUAAAAUAAGAUGGGUAUUAAAAUCUGUAUUUUUACCCCA